UGUUUUAUUCAUGUGUGUUGCACAACCAGAACCACAUGUUUCUCCCAAUCUGUUCUGUUUUUUUUCUCAUUAUAUGCAUAAUGUUCAGUCAGUCGAUUUUAACAUUCACAUAUAGUUCCAUCUGCAGGAGGACAAAAACAAACAGCAAAAACAAGGCAAGACUAGGAAGAAAUUAUAUUCUGCUAUACUCAAAAAGCAUGUGGCCCAAAUGAGAAAGAAAAAUGAGGAGGCCCUUUCAGACUGUAAUGCUACAGGGAACCAAGAUUGUAAUGAGCCACCCGAGAUGGAAGGAAGUGACAGUGAUGUUGACAUUCAUGACACAGUAGAAGUGUUGUCCAGUUCGUCUUCCAAGAGAGAUUGCACCUGCUUAUCCACCGUGUCACAGUCUAUGGAAGAGUGCCACAAGAAGUUGACAGACAUAGAAAAAACGCUUGAUCAAGUGGUGCAAGAGUUGCACAAAUGGGCAAAC